rnacentral:rRNA from 1 species
CGAUGCGAUCAUACCAGCACUAAAGCACCGGAUCCCAUCAGAACUCCGAAGUUAAGUGUGCUUGGGCGAGAGUAGUACUAGGAUGGGUGACCUCCUGGGAAGUCCUCAUGUUGCAUUCC